UACAGAGGGUGCGAGCGUUAAUCGGAAUUACUGGGCGUAAAGCGUGCGUAGACGGUCAAGUAAGUCGGGUGUGAAAGCCCCGGGCUCAACCUGGGAACCGCGCUUGAGACUGGCAUGCUCGAGUUCGGGAGAGGAUGGUGGAAUUCCCAGUGUAGAGGUGAAAUUCGUAGAUAUUGGGAAGAACACCGAUGGCGAAGGCAGCCAUCUGGACCGACACUGACGCUGAGGCGCGAAAGCGUGGGGAGCAAACAGG
rnacentral:rRNA from 1 species